rnacentral:lncRNA from 1 species
AUACAAGUCACAAAUUCUAAUAUAUACUAAUACAUGAGUAAACACACCAAUAAGCACACUUAUGUACAAAACUUAUAUGGAUUAAUAGCUAAAUGAUAGAGUUUAGUGGGACUUCUAUGGAGGAAUCUAUGAAAAGAAGAAGAGUGAAUAUUUUAAUGGUGAAAUGGAAAGGAAGAUGGAAGAAAUGAUUUGUUUAAUGGAUGAAGGAUAGAGUGGAUAAAUAUUAUAUUGGAAGAUUUGGUGGAAAUGUUGGUGUGGUGGAAUUUUUUAAUGAAAAUGAUAGGGAGUGGA